rnacentral:lncRNA from 1 species
CCUUAACUUCAUCUCGUUUGCAAAGUCCCUUUUGCCGUGGAAGGCAACAUAUUCACAGGUUCUGAGAACGAGGACACGGGCAUCUUUGGGGGGCCCCCGACGGGCCUAGCAGAGCAUGGGGUGUGGCCGGCAUUCAGACCCACAGACUGCUGCCACAGGGCCCCGUGGUGACCCGACCGCCCCUUCCCCCUGCAGGAUGAGAUCGAAGAGCUGCGGGCCGAGAUGCUGGAGAUGCGGGAUGUCUACAUGGAGGAGGAUGUGUACCAGCUGCAGGAGCUGCGACAGCAGCUGGACCAGGCCAGCAAGACGUGCCGCAUCCUGCAGUACCGGCUGCGUAAGGCCGAGCGCCGCAGCCUCCGAGCCGCGCAGACCGGCCAGGUGGAUGGGGAGCUCAUCCGUGGGCUGGAGCAGGACGUCAAGGUCUCUAAGGACAUCUCCGUACGGCUGCAUAAGGAGCUUGAGGCGGUGGAGAAGAAACGGGCGCGGCUGGAGGAGGAGAACGAGGAGCUUCGGCAGCGGCUCAUCGAGACGGAGCUGGCCAAGCAGGUGCUGCAGACGGAGUUGGAACGGCCCAGAGAGCAUUCCUUGAAGAAAAGAGGAACCCGCUCCCUGGGGAAGAUAGACAAGAAGCCUUCCGUGCAGGUAUUUCCCGGCAGCCCCCAUGGCCCCCAGAGGCAGGUUUGAAUCUGAAGGGCCAAGGCUUAACUCCAAGUGGCCUGGGAAGCCCACCCUUCCCCAACCUCAACCCCAC